rnacentral:rRNA from 1 species
CCCCGCUUGCGGGGGGAUUAGUGGCGAACGGGUGAGUAACACGUGAGUAACCUGCCCUUAACUCUGGGAUAAGCCUGGGAAACUGGGUCUAAUACUGGAUAUUGACUUUUCACCGCAUGGUGUUUGGUUGAAAGAUUUAUUGGUUUUGGAUGGACUCGCGGCCUAUCAGCUUGUUGGUGGGGUAAUGGCCUACCAAGGCGACGACGGGUAGCCGGCCUGAGAGGGUGACCGGCCACACUGGGACUGAGACACGGCCCAGACUCCUACGGGAGGCAGCAGUGGGGAAUAUUGCACAAUGGGCGCAAGCCUGAUGCAGCGACGCCGCGUGAGGGAUGACGGCCUUCGGGUUGUAAACCUCUUUCAGUAGGGAACAAGGCCAUCUUUUGGGUGGUUGAGGGUACUUGCAGAAGAAGCGCCGGCUAACUACGUGCCAGCAGCCGCGGUAAUACGUAGGGCGCAAGCGUUAUCCGGAAUUAUUGGGCGUAAAGAGCUCGUAGGCGGUUUGUCGCGUCUGCCGUGAAAGUCCGGGGCUCAACUCCGGAUCUGCGGUGGGUACGGGCAGACUAGAGUGAUGUAGGGGAGACUGGAAUUCCUGGUGUA